GGAAAGGUGAAAAGAACCCCGGGAGGGGAGUGAAAUAGAACCUGAAACCUUAUGCCUACAAGCAGAUAGAGUCUUAAGAGAGAUGAUAUCGUACUUUUUGUAGAACGGGCCAGCGAGUUAUGGUGUGCGGCAAGGUUAAGUAAUGAAGUUACGGAGCCGUAGGGAAACCGAGUCUGAAUAGGGCGGAUAAGUCGUAUGCCAUAGACCCGAAACCAGGUGAUCUAUCCAUGGGCAGGUUGAAGUGAAAGUAAAAUUUCAUGGAGGACCGAACCGGGUAGCGUUUAAAAGCUAUCGGAUGACUUGUGGAUAGGGGUGAAAAGCCAAUCGAACUUGGAGAUAGCUGGUUCUCCUCGAAAUAGCUUUAGGGCUAGCCUCAAUUUAGUUUACAGGGGGUAGAGCACUGAAUACCGUAGGGGUGUUAGACAUUACCGAAAGUUAUCAAACUGCGAAUACCUGAUAAAUGAUGAUUGGGAGUCAGACUAUGUGGGAUAAGCUUCAUAGUCGAAAGGGAAAGAGCCCAGACCACCAGCUAAGGUCCCUAAAUAUAGAUUAAGUGGUAAAGGAUGUUUUACUACUCAGACAACCAGGAUGUUGGCUUAGAAGCAGCCAUACAUUUAAAGAGUGCGUAAUAGCUCACUGGUCAAGUGGUAGAGCGCCGAAAAUGAACGGGGCUAAAAUCUAAUACCGAAGCUGUGGACUAAUAUAAUUAGUGGUAGAGGAGCAUUGUGUAAGGGGUGAAGCUAAGCUGGAAGGCGAAGUGGACUUUACAGAAGAGAGAAUGCUGGCAUGAGUAGCGAAAAGGAGGGUGAGAAUCCCUCCCGUCGAAAGCCUAAGGAUUCCUGAGGAAGGCUCGUCCUCUCAGGGUAAGUCGGGACCUAAGCCCAGGCUGAAAAGCGUAAGCGAUGGACAACAGGUUGAGAUUCCUGUACUAUCUUUGAAUGUUUGAGAGAAGUACUGACGCAGGAGGAUAUGUUGAGCGUGUGAAUGGUAGAGCACGUCUAAGCAAGUAGAUAGAGAAUAGAGGCAAAUCCCUAUUCUUAAUAUCGAGAUGUGAUGGGGAGCGAAAAAUAAGUAGUGAAGCAACAGAUUCCAAACUGCCAAGAAAAGGUACUAUUGAGUGAGAAGAUACCCGUACCAAAACCGACACAGGUAGGCAAGGAGAGAAUCCUAAGACGCGCGGAAGAACCUUUGUUAAGGAACUCGGCAAAAUGACCCCGUAACUUCGGGAGAAGGGGUACCAUUAGAUGUGAGAUACAUACGUAUGGAGCAUAGAGUGGUCGCAGAGAAUAGGCCCAAGCAACUGUUUACCAAAAACACAAGUCUCUGCUAAAUCGAAAGAUGAAGUAUAGGGGCUGACACCUGCCCGGUGCUGGAAGGUUAAGGGGAAAUGUCAGAGCAAUCGAAGCAUAGAACUUAAGCCCCAGUAAACGGCGGCCGUAACUAUAACGGUCCUAAGGUAGCGAAAUUCCUUGUCGGGU
rnacentral:rRNA from 1 species